GAGGAAAGAGGAGAGAAGGAGGAAAAAAGGAAAGUAUAUUGGAACUUAGGUUUGGGUGGUGGAAGGGUGAGUAACGCGUAAAGAAAUUGUAUCACAGAUAGGGAAAACAUUUGGAAAUGAAUGCUAAUAAUUGAUAUUAUGAUUUUAGGGCAUCCUAGAAUUAUGAAAGCUAUAUGCACUGUGAGAGAGCUUUGCGUCCCAUUAGCUAGUUGGAGAGGUAACGGCUCACCAAGGCGAUGAUGGGUAGCCGGCCUGAGAGGGUGAUCGGCCACAAGGGGACUGAGACACGGCCCUUACUCCUACGGGAGGCAGCAGUGGGGAAUAUUGGACAAUGGACCAAGAGUCUGAUCCAGCAAUUCUGUAUACACCCUUCCUUUUUUCUGAAUGUAAAGUGCUUUCAGUUGUUAAGAAAAAAAUGACGGUACCAACAGAAGAAGGAACAACUCAAUACGUC
rnacentral:rRNA from 1 species